UUCAACAAUCGGUUUUAGGUUGAUAGCUAUCCUUAAUGCUUGUUCAUGCUCUUCAUUUCAUGGUGCUGGGAGGGAGCAGACCACUAGCUCCAUCGCCUCUGGUUGCUGGUACUGCUCUUUUGUGCACAAUAUUGGCAUUUCAUUAUAAAUUUGUGGUUCAGUUCGUUUUCCAUGGUGAUCGAGUGAUUGUUUCCGAGUGUAACCUACCUGGUUGAUUGUCACUAUUUCGCUUUGCUACUUUCUGUAGACUGAUCAUGUCUUCAUUAUAUUAGUUUAGAUUCUGUUGAUCUAUGUGUACUGAUGCAAGGAUAGCUUCCAGGUUCUUCACUUCUAUCUUCAACAUCUAAGAAAUCCCCCGGAGGGGGACUAGCCAUGUUUUAGUUGCAUCUUGAUUUGCAAUUUUUUUUUGACGUCUUGGUCGAGCUGGUUUAUAGGUUUAAGAAACUGUGAUUUGGCCUUAUGUCAAUUGGUUCCAUGGCUGAGUGAGAUCUAGUUGAUAGUUUAUUUGAUCUAUAAGGCCUUUAAUGGCAGACCAUCUUUCAGGGCCUAUUGCUGGUAGUAUCUUAUGCUCACUUUUUAUUUGAAAGUUAUAUCUAAACUAGUGUGUCAGCGUUUAAGCCAGAGAUGAGCAUCAAGACACUUAAAGGAUUAUCCAUGUCUGCUAGACACAAAAACUAUUAUUCUGUUAGUGAUAUGUAAGAAUUGAACUAGAAGUUCUAUUUUUGUAGGUAUUGUUUAAUUUGCCGGUUCUAGUUUUUUCAGCCUUUUAUGAGUGGCUGCUGAUGUUUGGUUUCAUGUUGGUGGUCCGUUUUUGAGUAGACCUGGUUGUGGCUUUCAUUUGUUCUGAUUGGUUAUGGGUCAAAUGGUCAAUUUCGCAUAAUGUCAGUCAUGGAUAAUGUGGUCCGGUGGCAGCUUAGAAUAAGUUGAUCUUUAUGCAUGUGCUUGAUUUAUGUGGCAUCUUUUAAUGGGUUAUACAAGGAUUAACUCAGCCGGUCACAAGCCCAGAUAAAUCAUGGAGGGUUGGAAUAUUCUAUCAAAGCAUUUAUUAGAAUUUUAUGUACAUACUUGCUGCAGCUGGUAUAGCCUAGUGGGAGUAUAUUAUAUAUAAAGCAUGGAAUUAGCAGCGGAGUUCUAGGUUUUAACUGAUUUCUCCAUCUUCAUUUUUUUUCAACAGCGUUUCUUUUUAGCUUCCUUGUCAGUUGUCACAGUUACAUACAACAAAACACCCCUAGCUAUUGUUCUUCAUAGCUUACUCAAUUGGGUUGGUUCAUGUUAUGUGGGUUCAUGAUGUCCAGUUGUCGUAUGUUCUUCAUAGAUAUUGUAUUACAUUUCAGAAUGCAAGCUACUUUGAUAGGCUUUAUACAUAGAGAUAGAAGUUUUAGUAUUGCGGUGAAUUAUCGACAAUUCCAGGUUCUUGUUCUUGUAAGAUUAUUUAUAUUUCCUGAUUAUAGGAGUGUUUAUGUUGCAAAGCUGUCUGUCAUGUCAUAUCCAUCCUGUGAUCAGGUCGUGCACAAGGUAAUGGCUGGUUCCUGGGCUAGGAGUUUUUGCUAAUUGAUUGCAAGUCCGUUUGUUGGUAAGUUACAAGUAUUAUUCCAUUACAAUUAAUGGUUGAGUUGUGGUGAUAGGGUUUGUAGGUUCAAGGAAUUAGUGGUUGCGUACAAUGAUAACGUCCAGCAACGAAUUCAUGAUGUCAGAUUAUGCAUGUUAUAUUGUGGUUGGGUUUGGGUUUUGUAUUCUGCGCUAUGUUAUACAUUGCUUCAUUCCGGAAUGCCAUUCUUAUUGAUUGUUCUCACUUUUCUCGUAUGUCAUCUCUAUUUUACCUUCAUUUCUAGCA